AAAGAGAGUAAAAACUCCCUAAACCCACUGUUAAACAUACCUAUAACGUUGCUUCGGCAGGCGGCCCCAGGGCGGGGCCAUGGCCUAACGGUGCCUGCCGAAAGCGCCAAAAACUCUUGUUAUUUUUUGUCAUCAGAGUCUAAAACAAAAAUUAUAA
rnacentral:misc_RNA from 1 species